rnacentral:lncRNA from 1 species
GUGAUCAUCAUAAUCUUCAUACUUUCUCUUGGACGAAGGGCGAGGAAGUUCAGGAUCUCGCGAUCGACGGUCUGGAGAUGGCCUCGCAGGCCGACUGUGAUGGUCAAGGUCAGGUGAUGGCCUCUCAGGUCGGCGGUGGUCAAGCUCCGGCGAAGGCCUCUCAGGUCGGCGGUGGUGGUCAAGGUCCGGUGAUGGCCUCUCAGGUCGGCGAUGGUGAUCAAGGUCCGGUGAUGGCCUCUCAGGU